rnacentral:rRNA from 1 species
ACUCCUACGGGAGGCAGCAGUGGGGAAUAUUGCACAAUGGGCGCAAGCCUGAUGCAGCCAUGCCGCGUGUAUGAAGAAGGCCUUCGGGUUGUAAAGUACUUUCAGCAGUGAGGAAGGCGGAGUCGUUAAUAGCGGCCUCGUUUGACGUUAGCUGCAGAAGAAGCACCGGCUAACUCCGUGCCAGCAGCCGCGGUAAUACGGAGGGUGCGAGCGUUAAUCGGAAUUACUGGGCGUAAAGCGCAUGCAGGUGGUUUGUUAAGUCAGAUGUGAAAGCCCGGGGCUCAACCUCGGAAUUGCAUUUGAAACUGGCAGACUAGAGUACUGUAGAGGGGGGUAGAAUUUCAGGUGUAGCGGUGAAAUGCGUAGAGAUCUGAAGGAAUACCGGUGGCGAAGGCGGCCCCCUGGACAGAUACUGACACUCAGAUGCG